UGGGGAAUUUUGGACAAUGGGCGAAAGCCUGAUCCAGCCAUGCCGCGUGAGUGAAGAAGGCCUUCGGGUUGUAAAGCUCUUUUAGUCGGAAAGAAAGAGUUGCAAUGAAUAAUUGUGAUUUAUGACGGUACCGACAGAAAAAGCACCGGCUAACUACGUGCCAGCAGCCGCGGUAAUACGUAGGGUGCGAGCGUUAAUCGGAAUUACUGGGCGUAAAGGGUGCGCAGGCGGUCUUGCAAGUCAGAUGUGAAAGCCCCGGGCUUAACCUGGGAAUUGCGUUUGAAACUACACGUCUUGAGACCGAGAGAGGUAAGGGGAAUUCCUAGUGUAGAGGUGAAAUUCGUAGACAUUAGGAAGAACACCAGUGGCGAAGGCGCCUUACUGGCUCGGUACUGACGCUGAGGUACGAAAGCGUGGGGAGCAAACA
rnacentral:rRNA from 1 species